CAUUGGUGACCUGAGCCGAAGACGGACACUUAACCAACUGAGCCACCCCGUAGCUCCAGCUCUCCCUGAGGAAUGAAGCUGUGUACUCUGCUUGUGGCAAAGCUCAGUAAGUCCUUAAAAAAUCAGGAAGCAGUCGUCAAUGCUCAAGUUAAAUCUGUACGGCCAUUCGCAAAGAGCCAACUCCGGACUCGGGUGGCCUAUUACUCAGCUCAACAGUGCCAGCUACCAAGAUGGUUUUGGCCAGUAGUCCCUUUAUGGUUAGACAAGAUGCAUCCAAAUUACUGAUAUCGAAAAACACACCUGCCACCCCAGCGCCAUCUGAAAUAAAAUGUCUAUCCUCCCAUCU